AAAUCCGUUGACUUUUCAAAUCGUGAGG
rnacentral:tRNA from 4 species